rnacentral:rRNA from 1 species
UACGUAGGGUGCAAGCGUUGUCCGGAAUUAUUGGGCGUAAAGAGCUCGUAGGCGGUCUGUCGCGUCGGGCUGUGAAAACUCCGGGGCUCAACCCGAGCUUGCAGUCGAUACGGGCAGGCUAGAGUUCGGCAGGGGGAGACUGGAAUUCCGUGGUGUAGCGGUGAAAUGCGCAGAUAUCAGAGGAACACCGGUGGCGAAGGCGGUUCUCUGGGCAUGUCCUGACGCUGAGGAGCGAAAGUGUGGGGAGCGAACAGG